rnacentral:hammerhead_ribozyme from 1 species
AUUUAAUUGAUGAGUCUCAAACAGGACGAAAUACACAUCAUGGAU